ensembl:lncRNA
CCAGGCAUCAGGAUCCCCAUUGCUUCGAAGGGCGCUCCUCUAACUGCCGUGGCAGGGAACAGCCACUAGCCAGGAGCCAUGGGCGGGGCCAGCCUGGCUGAUAGGACCCAGUGUGCCCCGCUCGCAGCCCGUAGCCCCGCCAGAGUCUGCGCUUGUUUGGCCACAGGCAGGAGAGGCAAGGCAUACACAUAAGCCUUGGCACAGGCUUCAAGAGGAUUAUGAAAACUUCAUGGACAGAAUUUCUUCUCUGACAGGAGUGAAACGUUGUUUGUAAUCUCUUCAAUCCACUGAUCCCAAACUAUCAGUGGAAGUUUUCUUUAGACCAUAUAUUCCAUACCAAUACCACUACAGGGACUGGGGAAAUGGAAUGGAGUGCAGAGAACCAUCUUGACACAGACAGAAUGGAUUCUCAAACCCAUGAGGAAACUUAGUGGUACAUGAGACAUCUGUCAAUUUCAUAAGCCAACUUGGUUUCAGUUUCUCUGUGCCAGCCUACCCAUCUCAAUAUUUGUGGUCACCUAUUAACAUGAUGGAAUAAAGCAAAGACUACAAGGGGCCCAAAUGUCCAUGUACUUCCUAAGGGGAUACCUGGUGCUCUUGGAUGGUUUAAUUCCCCUUGCCUGGCUUGCUCCCAGAAAGACACUUACUCAUCAGCGAUCACUGACAGAAGUUUUGACUGGUUGUCAUUGUCUUCCUCUAUCAUUAAGUGCUCACUUAUGCACAUGACAUUGUACCCAGCAAUGGUGGUGCUACUGGCAUCUAGUGGGGAGAGGACAGGAUGCUGCUAAAUAUGCUGCAAUGAACUGGACCACUCCCUCCCCAACACAUCAAUGAAGAAUCAUCCAGUUCAAUAUUCCAACAGUGCUGAGGUUGAGAAACCCAUGCUGAAUGGGUCUACUGAUGUUGGCUUCAGUCAAAUGUGAUUGUUUCACCUUGUGCCUUCCUCUCCUUGCAAUGCCUUAACAAUCAUCUAUGAUUUAGAAUCUGUAACACAUAGUCUAGAAUGAACUCAGAAGCUGAUGCUCCAAUGGUAAUACAAUAAAUUGUAAUUUUGUUUACACUCCAUUAUUAACUUGAUUCAUUUGGAUUAAUUUUAUAGUCUAUAUAGAACUGGAAGAUUUUUGUAUGAUUGUUGGUUUCUAGUUUAGUAGUUAGUCCAAUCAUGUGAUAUAAUUUCUUCUUCCUCUCCUGGCAAACAAGAGCAAAUGAUGGAAAUUUGGGAAUUGAUGCUUCCAUUUUCAACAUUAGAAGAAAUUACUGACAGACAUGGAGAUAUGCCUUCAGGACUCUCUCUGUGGGUGCAAGGAUUGGGUUGAAUGAGAUCUCAGAAAUGUAGAAUGGCAGAUGCCAAACUUUUAUAUAAGCAUUGAUAUUUUUGUGUAUGUCAAGUUUUACAAUAAGCUUAUAUUUUAGUGCUUUUGCCAACAUCAUAUCUGCUUUGUUACUUUCAGCCCAAUAUGUAAUAAUUAACUGCUUAUGUGUUUGCCUCUUCCUUUUACCUUGAGUUCCUUGAUAGCAAGAACUCCACAUCUUAUUUUCUGGCUUGGCAUGGUGCCUGUGACUUAUCAGUUGCAGUUUCAAACAGUGAAUUUUAAAUCCAUUGUAACGAGGUUCAGAUACAUCUUUAUUAAUCAAAAUAGGAACCAUUACAAUCAACAUAUUUUUGCCAAAAAGAAAUGUUUGUUUAUUCCUGUAGCAUAAAAAUCAGAAUUUGACAAACUCUUGGAAAGCAUUUUCUGCCUCCUGCUGGCUGUGGAAGCAUUUUCCCUAUAAAAACUUGUCAAGAUAUUUGAAGAAGUGCUAGUUGGUCAGCAAGAACUCAGGUCAGUAUGAUGGGUGAGGCAAAACUUCAUAGCCCAGUUCAUUCAUUUUGAAGCAUUGAUUGUGCUACGUGCAGUCAGGUGCUGUCAUGGAGAAGAAACAGGCCCAUUCUGUUGACUAAUGCUGGCUGCAGGCAUUGCAGUUUUAGGUACAUCACAUCGGUUUGCUGAGCAUACAUCUCAGAUGCAAUGGUUUUGCUGGGAUUCAUAAAGCUGUAGUGAAUCAGACAGGCAGGAAACCACUAAAGAGUGACUGUGACUUUUGUGGUGCAAGUUUGGCUUUGGGAAGUGCUUUGGAGCUUCUUUUCCAUCUAACCACUGAGCUGGUUGUCAUAUAAAAUCCACUUUUGGUCACACGUCACAAUCUGAUUGAGAAAUUUUUCCUUGUUUUUGUGCAG